rnacentral:rRNA from 1 species
GACGAACGCUGGCGGCGUGCUUAACACAUGCAAGUCGAACGAAGUGGCGAAAGGGUGAGUAACGCGUAAUCAACCUGACCUUCAGCGGGGGACAACAGUUGGAAACGACUGCUAAUACCGCAUACUGAAGGAGGGGAUUGCGUCUGAUUAGCUAGUUGGAGGGGUAACGGCCCACCAAGGCGAUGACCAGUAGCCGGUCUGAGGGGAUGAACGGCCAGAAUGGGACUGAGACAUGGCCCAGCCUCCUACGGGGGGCAGCAGUGGGGAAUCUUCCGCAAUGGACGAAAGUCUGACGGAGCAACGCCGCGUGAGUGAUGACGGCCUUCGGGUUGUAAAGCUCUGUUAAUCGGGACGCGGUACCGGAAUAGAAAGCCACGGCUAACUACGUGCCAGCAGCCGCGGUAAUUC